CAUUUAAAAAAACUGGCACAUAAUCAAAAUUUAAAAAAAAAAUUCAAAAAGGGAAAUAAUGAUCGGAAACUUGGUGAUUAAACAAAAUACAAAAUAUGACAGAGGCCUGAUUUGGACAAAAAGUUUAUUUCCUCAGUUAGAUUGUACACCAUAAACUUAAAUGCCAAUCUUUUUCGUUUUUCUCAGAUGCACAGUAAAUUGGCUUUAGGGUACAUUACAACUGAUUAGAAUUUACACUAGAAUUGAAUAUCAACACUAAUCAUGUUUAAUUUUAAACUGGCAUCAACAUUUUUACAAAAAAAAAUGUACUUUGUGCAUGUUUUUCAUUUUUUAUUACUUUUUUUUCAAGAGAAAUGGAGACUUUUAGACUAUUUUAAUUAUUAGUUAGCAUUUUAAUACACCUGGCUGUAAGGUGAUUAACUUUUUCAGACUCAAACUUUUUGUGGAGGUUAAUUGAUUGGUGAGACAGGCGCAGUAACUUAAAGAUGAACAUGUUUUUUUUUUUUUUUUUUACGUCUGUACGUUAAAACCAUCCAUAUAUAAGAAAAACUGUUUAGGCUGCUUUCCAGCAAAAUGACCUUUCCUGACUGAGUGUGACAGUAAGCGGCACAGAUGCAGCACAGGCCAGGCGCUCUCUCUGGGGACCGCAGCGGCUCGGCUGGGAUGUGACAGGCCCGAAACGGUCAGGCGGGCCCUUUCUCUUUUGAUCAAUCAGACUAAGAAUACUACAGAUAGCAACAGGCUGUAGUCACACAGAAGGUAAGGACUGCUGUUUUCUUGUAUACAUUUUAGUAUAGCAAUAGUUCUGAGCUUAUUUGAAGUCAUGCAAAAACAGAUAUUUAUAUUUUUGUUUUGAGUUCUGUUUGUAUCUUGGAAAAAGCAUUGCGU